AAGCCCCACAUUCAACUGGCUUUCCUCGCCUCUGAGACAUAACCCCAUAGUAUCUGGAUCAAGUCAUGGUGCACAUAGUUCAGCGGGCCAGUCUGAUGAGAUUGUGCUAACCCAUGAAUCUGACUAUGCUCUGACUUCUCAAGACAAUGAAAUUGAGAACACUGAUGACCGUUUUCCAAUAUUCUUUAAUGAGCAUGGGCAAUGGAACGGGCCAGCAAAUUUUGCAACCUUGAUCAGAGAGAUUACAAGGUCGAAAAUAGGGUUGGGGUAUGCAAAAUGGAAAGAGGUUCCUCCAGAAGACAAAGAAUAUAUUUGGAACUCUGUUCAAAAUAUGUACCAGGUAACAGCUAUCCAUAAGAAGUAUGUUUGAGCAAAGGCAAACAGUGCUUGGAGAACUGAAAAGUCAAAUAAAAAACGAUCGCUCAAUGAUGUUACAUCUGUGGAAGAAAAGAAAAGGAAGUUGCCAUCAUACAAUAAGAAAGAAGACUGGGAGAAAUUUAUCAAUAACAUCAGUGACCCAAAGUGGCUGAAAAAAUCUGAACAAGCUGCGGAAGCACGGUCAAAUGUGAAGGCUCAAUAUACAGG